rnacentral:rRNA from 1 species
UACGUAGGGGGCAAGCGUUGUCCGGAUUUAUUGGGCGUAAAGAGCGUGUAGGCGGCCAUACAGGUCAGCUGUGAAAACUCGAGGCUCAAACCUCGAGACGUCGGUUGAAACCGUUUGGCUAGAGUCCGGAAGAGGAGAGUGGAAUUCCCGGUGUAGCGGUGAAAUGCGCAGAUAUCGGGAAGAACACCCGGUGGCGAAGGCGGGUCUCU